ensembl:lncRNA novel transcript, antisense to SGK1
AUUGCUGUGUUGGCCGGGCUGGAGUGCAGUGGGGCAAUUUUAGCUCACUGCAGCAUCCAACUUCUGGUUCAAGCAAUCCUCUCACUUCAGCCUUCCAAGUAGUUAGGACUACAGGCAUAUGCUGCUGUGCUCAGCUAACUUUUUCAUUUUUUGUAGAGACAGGAUCUCACUUUGGAAGGCAGCUAUGCUCACCACUACACUGCCAACACCAGGAUCUCACUUUGUUGCCCAAGCUGGUCUUGAACUCCCGGACUCAAGCAACCCUCUUGCCUCAGCCUCCUAAAGUGCUGAGAUUACAGGCGUGAACCACACCAUGCCUGGCCCAUUUUGUCAAUUAAGUGUUUUGGAAAUGCUACUUGUUCAUUAUAAUCAAUCAGUAAAGGAUAAUUAUUGUAGAAAUUAGUAUUUACUAAGAGUUGAAAAAGCAUUCAGCUCUUUUUUUUUUGGCAGAGCUAGCUGAGGUUUUAUUUUGGACCAAAAAAAAAAAAAAAAAAAAAACAGUUGAAUUGUUUUGUAGCUGGAGGCAUGGGCAAGGGGGGGUCCCCAAGCAGUAAACUUCCCCGCACGUGGGCUGAGGGCUAGGACUGAGCCUCAGGUCAUCCCCGUGCUUCCCAGCCAGCAUCUGCAGCUCCUCAUAUUUGAUCUGGUACAUGCUCUCAGCCUCACUCCGGCUGCGGUUGGUGAUCUCCUCGUACUGCGCCUUGACCUCAGUGAUGAUGCCGUCCAUGUCCGGGGAGCGGCUGUUGUCCAUGGACAGCAUCACAGACGUAUCCGAGAUCUGGGACUGCAGCUCCCGAUCUCUUCAUACAGCUGCCUCAGGAAGUUGAUCUCGUCAGUCAGCCCUUCCAGCAGAAGUCACACUAUAUGACACCCAGGACUCGGCCUUAUGAGAUCGUCAGCUUCCACAGGCUCUCUUGAAGCACUCCCUGUUAGAAGCCGGCAGCCAUCUAAGUCUAUCUUAAGAACAUGUUACUGUGAGGAUGCCCAAGCUAUGUGGAGAGAGAAAGAGGCCAAUAGAGAUGCACUGACACCAAACAAGAAGCUUUCUCGGACUUUCUGGCUCAGCUCAACCACCAGCUGAAUGCAGCCAAGGAAAGACUCAGCCAACGUCACAGGGAGCAGAACCCUCCAAAUGAGUGACACUGAAUUCCUAAUCCACAGAAUCAUGAGUAAAUAAAUGACAGUAGCUUUUGCUCAUCAAA